GGUGAAGAUGUACCAUGCUGCAGCUCAAAAUUUGGCCACACAAACUAGAUGAAUUGCUAUAUUUGAUGAAGUUGGAGGAGCUAGCGUAGUAAGAUGCUGGAGUUAUUUUGUUACCAUAAAAAAUAAUUAGGAGGUCAUUAUUAGAACAUAGGUAGUUAGGGAUCCUUCAAUUUUUAACGCAGAUGGAGUUUUGAGAAGAAAUAAUGGAGAUGAAAGAGAAAUAAAGGUAUUAUGGCAUGGGAAGUUCCCUCGUCGUCCGGUAUUUAUAGAGAUUAGAACAUGAAUCCACAUGAUUAGGAUCGUGAGAGUUACAUAUAAGUGGUUGGGCUCUUUCUCCAUCGAUCGGUCAGAAUGAUGGGGAUAUUUCUUUUGACUCAUGUCAUUGAGUAUUUUUACUAUUUAUUGGUCGAUUGCGACAUUUACUUUUAGAUGAUCAAUGGAGUCGGUGGGUGAUUAUUCAAAGAUUUUAUUAAUUAUUAAUUUAAUUAGAUAUAUAUCGUUAUUUGAUUUGAUGGAUUGAAUUGCCAAAUGAGAUUUUUGGAAGGACGGAUCCAAAACAUAUCACUUUAUGAUAAAGAAAUAAUAAUUUUGCUCCCUAACAAAAAAAGAAUAAAAUAAAAAAAUUAUUGGAGCCAAGCAUAGGCUC
rnacentral:lncRNA from 1 species